AGAGUUUGAUCCUGGCUCAGAACGAACGCUGGCGGCGUGGAUAAGACAUGCAAGUCGAACGCUGAUUAGAGGGUAGCAAUAUUCUCUAGUCGGAGUGGCGCAAGGGUGCGUAACACGUGGGCAAUCUGCCGUGAAGACAGGGAUAACUCGCUGAAAGGCGAGCUAAUACCCGAUGAGACUGUCAGGAGGCAUCUUCUGACAUUGAAAGCUGGGGACCCGCAAGGGCCUGGCGCUUUACGAUGAGCCCGCGGCCUAUCAGCUAGUUGGUGAGGUAACGGCUCACCAAGGCUAAGACGGGUAGCUGGUCUGAGAGGACGACCAGCCACACUGGAACUGAGACACGGUCCAGACACCUACGGGUGGCAGCAGUCGAGAAUUUUUCACAAUGGGCGCAAGCCUGAUGGAGCGACGCCGCGUGGGGGAUGAAGGGUUUCGAUCCGUAAACCCCUGUCAUUUGCGAACAAACCUUAUUCAAUAACACUGAAUGAGCUGAUUGUAGCGGAAGAGGAAGGGACGGCUAACUCUGUGCCAGCAGCCGCGGUAAUACAGAGGUCCCAAGCGUUGUUCGGAUUCACUGGGCGUAAAGGGUGCGUAGGUGGCCGGGUAAGUUCGAUGUGAAAGCUCGGAGCUCAACUCCGAAAUGGCAUUGAAUACUAUCC
rnacentral:rRNA from 1 species